CAAAGUGUAAGUUAAGUGGAAAAGGAUGUGGGAUUUCUAAGACAACUAGGAUGUUGGCUUAGAAGCAGCCACUCAUUAAAAGAGUGCGUAAUAGCUCACUAGUCGAGAGAUCCUGCGCCGAAGAUGUCCGGGGCUCAAACUUACCACCGAAGCUACGGGUUCACACUUAUGUGUGAGCGGUAGAGGAGCGUCGUAAUCGGGCUGAAGUCGUACCGUAAGGAGCGGUGGACUGAUUACGAGUGAGAAUGUUGGCAUUAGUAGCGAGAUGUGGGUGAGAAUCCCACAGGCCGAAUAUCUAAGGUUUCCUCAGGAAGGUUCGUCCGCUGAGGGUUAGUCGGGACCUAAGCCGAGGCCGAAAGGCGUAGGCGAUGGACAAUCGGUUGAUAUUCCGAUACCACUACUGAUCGUUAUUAUCGAUGGUGUGACGGAGAAGGAUAGAGUGUGCUAGCUAUUGGAUGCUAGUCUAAGCGUUUAGGGAGUUAGGAAAGGCAAAUCCGUCCUAACAAUUCUGAGGCGUGAUGGGGAAGGUUCUACGGAACCGAAGUACUUGAUUCCAUGCUUCCAAGAAAAGCAUCUAGAGAGAGAUGUAGUGCCCGUACCGCAAACCGACACAGGUAGAUGAGGAGAGAAUCCUAAGGCCGGCGGAAGAAUCACAGUUAAGGAACUAGGCAAAUUGACCCCGUAACUUAGGGAGAAGGGGUGCCUGCGAGAGCAGGCCGCAGAGAAUAGGCCCAAGCAACUGUUUAGCAAAAACACAGGUCUCUGCUAAAGCGAAAGCUGAUGUAUAGGGGCUGACGCCUGCCCGGUGCUGGAAGGUUAAGGGGAACACUUAGCGCAAGCGAAGGUGUGAACUUAAGCCCCAGUAAACGGCGGCCGUAACUAUAACGGUCCUAAGGUAGCGAAAUUCCUUGUCAGGUAAGUUCUGACCCGCACGAAUGGCGUAAUGACUUGGGCACUGUCUCAACUGUGAAUCCGGCGAAGUUGUAGUGCGAGUGAAGAUGCUCGCUACCCGCGAUUGGACGGAAAGACCCCGUAGAGCUUUACUGUAGCUUAGCAUUGAAUUUCGGUAUUGUCUGUACAGGAUAGGUGGGAGACUGGGAAAUCAGGGCGUCAGCCUUGAUGGAGUCGUCCUUGGGAUACCACCCUGACAGUACUGAGGUUCUAACUGGAUGCCAUGAAUCUGGUGACAGGACAUUGUUAGGUGGGCAGUUUGACUGGGGCGGUCGCCUCCUAAAAAGUAACGGAGGCGCCCAAAGGUUCCCUCAGAACGGUCGGAAAUCGUUCGAAGAGUGCAAAGGCAGAAGGGAGCCUGACUGCGACACCCACAAGUGGAGCAGGGACGAAAGUCGGGCUUAGUGAUCCGGUGGUACCUCGUGGGAGGGCCAUCGCUCAACGGAUAAAAGCUACCUCGGGGAUAACAGGCUGAUCUCCCCCAAGAGUCCACAUCGACGGGGAGGUUUGGCACCUCGAUGUCGGCUCGUCGCAUCCUGGGGCUGAAGUAGGUCCCAAGGGUUGGGCUGUUCGCCCAUUAAAGCGGCACGCGAGCUGGGUUCAGAACGUCGUGAGACAGUUCGGUCCCUAUCCGUCGCGGGCGUAGGAAAUUUGAGAGGAGCUGUCCUUAGUACGAGAGGACCGGGAUGGACUGACCUCUGGUGCACCAGUUGUUCCGCCAGGAGCACAGCUGGGUAGCUAAGUCGGGAAGGGAUAAACGCUGAAAGCAUCUAAGCGUGAAGCCCACCUCAAGAUGAGAUUUCCCAUAGCAUAAGCUAGUAAGACCCCUUGAAGAACACGAGGUUGAUAGGUCAGAGGUGUAAGUGCAGUAAUGUAUGUAGCUGACUGAUACUAAUAGGUCGAGGGCUUGACCAA
rnacentral:rRNA from 1 species